CAGGAGAUGGGUAAAAAACCAGAACAAAUCCACUAAAAUCCCAGCUCAGGCUGCACUGACGCUGGAAUUUUGGGAGAAUGAUGAGUUUUAAGGCUGUGUGAGGGUCAGAGAAUUCCCAAGUCCCUGCAGGAAAAGGAAGAAGUUGUGAUUGUACAACAUUUGGGAUUUUAAGGCACUUACCUCCCUUCCUCUGAGGUUUUCCAGCUGCUUCCCUGGCUUCCAGUUGGCUGCUGGCCAGACUGGCAGUGUUAGGAGCUGCGUCCAUGGAGACGGGCCCGUGAGGUCACAGCGGCAGUUCCACAGUGGAUCCCAUUCCCCAGGAAACUGUGCUGGGAUCCCAACCCCAGGGAAGCCCUGGCACCCAGGCAGCUGCUCCCGGGAGCUGGGACACCCACACCCCAAAGCCCCAGGACAGGGACACCUGGGGAAGGUGACAUGUCAGGGCAGAGGGGGGCUCAGCCAGGGUGCAGGGGGGGGCUGGGAGUGGCCACAGGGACUUUGGACAAGGGCCUGGAGUGCCAGGACAGGGGGGAAUGGCUUCCUGUGGACAGAGGGCUGGGUUAGAUGGGAUACUGGGAACAAAUCCUUCCCUGUGAGGGUGGUGAGGAACUGGCACAGGUUGCCCAGAGAACCUGUGGCUGCCCCAUCCCUGCAAGUGUCCAAGGCCGGGUUGGACGGGGCUUGGAGCAACCUGGGCUAGUGGAAGGUGUCCAUGCCCAUGGCAGGGGGGUGGAACAAGAUAAGCUUCCAGUCCAAAUGAUUCCAUGAUUUCCUUUCUGGUCCUCUUAAUAAAGAGUUCACACACCUUCAGUCUCUCCAGGCUUCCUUCUCACCGUGCCUGAACCCCGCCUUUUCCAUCUAUUUCUGGGAGAACCAGCCAUAAAAUCAGCUCAAUGGGAGGGGAUCAAAGGUCCAUCAGCCCUGGAAACCCGUCUCCCAUAGGGACUAAGAGCAGGAGGUGUGGAAAACACACAGGAACAGGGACAGCACUUCUGAUUCUUCACCACUUCUCAGAGCCAAUUUCAGCUCCGUGGGGCUCCGGAAUCUCCAGCCCCAGAUGGGUUUUGAUGCCUGUCAAGAGCCUCAAAGCAUUUUGCUGUCACCAACUCACCCAGAGUUUCCCUAAAUCCCUAUCAAAUUGGAGUAUCUGCAGCAGCCAGAGGCAAGGAGUUCUCCAGCUCAGCCUGAGAGUCCAUCAUGGCCUCCUUCUCCUUUGGAUCUGCUGCUUGUCCUUUGGCUUUGUUUUCCACAGUGGGAAUUUUUGUUCAAGUGGCUUACCCAGAUCUGCCUUACCACGCCAGGUUCCUGUUGUUGCCAUCUGCUCUUGUCACAAGUUCCUGUCCUGGUGGCUUAUCUUCUGGGAAUUUCCUUCUCUGACAGUGUUUUGAGAAAAUUAACUGCAUUCCUUAAGUCCUGGCAGCAACAUCCAGUUACUGUAUAACCAGGUGCAUUGUCUUGAAGAGAAUUGUGUAACUUAGAACUUUGGGGGCUCCAGACAAAGACGACCACCGAUAAAGAUGCUCAGAGACCUUAUAAGGACAUUCAUAUAUGCUAAUGAGCAUUGGGAAAUGUCAUGAAUAUGUAACAGAAAUGUGAGGAAUGAAAAAUUAAUAAUUAUGUAAUGCUGACAUAUCAGCUGUAGCUGGGAUACCUCUGUGUG
ensembl:lncRNA